CUGAUGGAGCAACGCCGCGUGAGUGAAGAAGGUCUUCGGAUCGUAAAGCUCUGUUGCACGGGACGAAAACUGGGUUUGAAAACAUUGAACCUGGGUGACGGUACCGAGCGAGGAAGCCACGGCUAACUACGUGCCAGCAGCCGCGGUAAUACGUAGGUGGCGAGCGUUGUCCGGAAUUAUUGGGCGUAAAGGGAGCGCAGGCGGACAUAUAAGUCCAUCUUAAAAGUGCGGGGACUCAACCCCGUGAGGGGAUGGAAACUGUAUGCCUUGAGUGCAGGAGAGGAAAGCGGAAUUCCCAGUGUAGCGGUGAAAUGCGUAGAUAUUGGGAGGAACACCAGUGGCGAAGGCGGCUUUCUGGACUGUAACUGACGCUGAGGCUCGAAAGCCAGGGGAGCGAAACGGGAUUAGAUAACCCCGGUAGUCCUGGACCGUAAACGAUGAAUGCUAGGUGUAGGAGGUAUUCACCCCUCCUGUGCCGGAGUUAACGCAAUAAGCAUUCCGCCUGGGGAGUACGGUCGC
rnacentral:rRNA from 1 species